rnacentral:misc_RNA from 1 species
GAUGAAGAACGCAGCGAAAUGCGAUAAGUAAUGUGAAUUGCAGAAUUCAGUGAAUCAUCGAAUCUUUGAACGCACCUUGCGCCCUUUGGCCAUUCCGAAGGGCAUGCCUGUUUGAGUAUCAUGAACACCUCAACUCUUUAUGGUUUUCCAUGAUGAGCUUGGACUUUGGGGGUUUUGCUGGCCUAUGGUCGGCUCCUCUAAAAUAAAUCAGCUUACCAGUGUUUGGUGGGUAUCAUGGGUGUGAUAACUAUCUACGCUUGUGGUUUUUCUGCCAGGUAACCUUCGACAGCGGAGGUUCACUGGAGCUCAUAGAUGUCUCUCCUCAGCGAGGACAGCCCUUUGAAUGUUUGAUCUCAAAUCAGGUAGGACUACCCGCUGAACUUAAGCAUAUCAAUAAGCGGAGGA